UCUCUCUCCCCCAGUCCCAACUACUCCCUCCCUUCACUCUCUUCCUCUGCUCGUGGUGGAGUAACUUGCAAAGCCAAGUAAACGCAUUGGAGUUGGACACAUAAAUGGGGGACGAAAAGGAUGCUUUUUAUGUCGUGCAUAAAGGGGAUGUGAUCGCUGUCUAUAAGAACCUGAGUGAUUUACAAGCUCUGCUACGAUCUUCUGUUGGUGAACCAGCCAUAAGUGUUUAUAAAGGUUAUCACCUGGCUAAGCAAUCAGAAGAGUAUUUGGCAUCUCAUGGACUCAAAAAUGCAAUGUAUUCUAUGGAUUUCAGUGAUGUUCGAGAUGAUCUCUUUGGGAUACUCGUCCCAUGCCCUUUUCGGCAACCUGGCUCUUCGAAAGAUAAAAUUAUCGGGAAGAAUCUUCAGGAAAAGAGGAUGCAGAUGGAGGUGGUUGCAUCUCCUUCGUUUUCAGCUGCUGGUCAGCAAAAAACAUGCCAAAUUAGACAAUUGCCUAGAAAUUCCCCCGAUUUCGUCAUAUUGUCCCCCCUACGUGCAGUGUUCAUGCAUUCUUGAGUUUGAUGGGGCUUCAAAGGGGAAUCCUGGACCAGCUGGUGCUGGUGCUGUGCUGCGUGCUGCAGAUGGAAGUAUGGUUUUCCGGUUGCGUGAAGGUGUGGGUGUGGCAACUAACAACGUUGCUGAAUACAGAGGUGUAAUCUUAGGGCUAAAAUAUGCUCUUGAGAAAGGUUUCAAACAUGUAAAAGUUAAGGGUGACUCAAAACUUGUCUGCAUGCAGACUCAAGGAAUCUGGAAAUGCAAGAACCAGAACAUGGCUGAGCUAUCCAAGAUUGUGAAAGAGCUUAAAGAUCAUUUUUUGUCAUUCCAGAUCAACCAUAUUUACAGAGAAUUCAACACUGAAGCCGAUGCCCAGGCAAAUUUAGCCGUGUAUCUUAAGAAUGGUGAAUUUCAAGUGGAAUGUGACAAGAAAACAACUUAAUAAUGUGAAGUCACCAACUACCCCAACUUGCUUGGGAUUUUGUGAAGAUGAAUGACACCCAAGACCGAUGCAUAAUGGAUCUUUUGUGGUCUAAAGCCAACGUCUUGUUUGUUUUUUGUAGAUAUAUGAUCUGAAUUAUGUGCACGCAUCUGGAUUAGGGAAACUUCUGUUUAGGAGCCUGCUCGAAUCGAUUAUUCUCUUCUCAUUUGCAAUGAAAAUUAAUUG